GUCCUCGUAUGUCCUGUCUGUGUGGAAAUACUUAAGUUGCCAGUACAAGACCCACCAGCACUUUCUUUCGCUGAAGUUGUGAAAAGCACAUGUCAAAAAAGAGGCACAGAAUCAACCUGGACUCCUAACCAAUCACAUUCAAGGCGGCUUCCCUGGCUAGUCACUCGAACCCUAAACAGAUGGACUCAGCACCACAUCACACUCAGCCCUGGACCUGUCAGUGAGGAUCCUCCCACCUGUUUUAUGCCCCAGAGUGUGAAAACGCAGGAAUGGGUCAUCUCGAUAAAUUCCUAAGGGUCAUUAGGCACGAAGAUGCAAAUCUCAGGCAGGUGUGACUUCUGGAUACCCAGUGAAACAUUAGUUACACUUGAGUUAACCAUAGCUCUGGCUGAAAAACCAAGAUGAAGGCCCACCAGAAAAUCCAAAACUAAAUUUAAAUAUGUAGGAAUUAAACAAAGAGUUUAUGGUGAAAAGCAAAGAACUCUGUGACUCUCAAACUACCAUGGCAGCCUCUGGAUACAGUCCAUUCAAAUUCCAGACGAGAACCCAAACUAGCAAGAUGGUCAUUACGUUACCCAACUGUCAUAUUAAUUGUAUCCUGUUUGUUUUGGUUUUUGAAAAAAAAAUAUUCUUCCAGGAAUAUACUGAACUCUGUACAUCAAUACAAACUUCCAGGACUUAAAUGUGAAUGAUGUGAUACAGCAUAAUGUAAAUAAACUUU